CAGAGACGAACAAGUGGAGAUGUCGAAAACGGUUUCGGGGAUCUACUGGGGAAUUUCUGGAUUGGCAAUGACAACCUUCAUCUGCUGACUACCAUCCCGAGGAUCCUCCGAGUGGAACUAGAGGCCUGGGACGGGACAAGAGGAUAUGCCCAGUACUCGACAUUCCAGGUGGCCGGUGAAGAUCUGAACUACAAAAUUCUUGUACAAGGAUUCUCCGUGAACGUUUCCUGUAAGUUAUCACCAUAAUUUUUUUUAUUAUUAUUUCAAAAGGUAUGGUACUUCAUUGUACUAAUAUCAAUAAAAAUAUCAUCGCCUA